GAAAAAUUAGCGGAUGACUUGUGGCUGGGGGUGAAAGGCCAAUCAAACCGGGAGAUAGCUGGUUCUCCCCGAAAGCUAUUUAGGUAGCGCCUCGUGAAUUCAUCUUCGGGGGUAGAGCACUGUUUCGGCUAGGGGGUCAUCCCGACUUACCAACCCGAUGCAAACUACGAAUACCGAAGAAUGUUAUCACGGGAGACACACGGCGGGUGCUAACGUCCGUCGUGAAGAGGGAAACAACCCAGACCGCCAGCUAAGGUCCCAAAGUCAUGGUUAAGUGGGAAACGAUGUGGGAAGGCACAGACAGCCAGGAUGUUGGCUUAGAAGCAGCCAUCAUUUAAAGAAAGCGUAAUAGCUCACUGGUCGAGUCGGCCUGCGCGGAAGAUGUAACGGGGCUAAACCAUGCACCGAAGCUGCGGCAGCGACACUAUGUGUUGUUGGGUAGGGGAGCG
rnacentral:rRNA from 1 species